rnacentral:lncRNA from 1 species
AUAUUCCCAGUAUUCCCUCUCUAGUCCACAAUGACUCUCCACCAGGGAACAGACUCUCCACCGGGCUGCUCAGGCGAACUGACGCCAUGACGGAAAGUUCGCGGUCGCUCCGGAUACUUGAACCUGUUUCAUGAAGACGUUUAGAGGACGAGAGGAAGAAGGAGAGACAAUAAAAGAGGGAACUUCAGUUUCCUGUGAGUUAUAAGGUCAGUCAGAGGCGGAACAGCCACACAAACAAACAAACAAACACAAACAAACACAGGGUCGCCGCGUCUGUAGUUAACGACGUCAGCUAGCGAACACCUAUGCUAAAAGUUGUUGACUAUAAACAAACAAACAAACAUCGGUCAAACUCCUGAGAAUGAACAUUACCUUUUAAACAGUCGUUGUUGUUGUUUUCUUGCUGUUAUUGUCAGAGGAAAUCAACGCCACCUGUUGAUGAGCAUUCAGUGAAAGCGACAAGCGAACAGCGUCUCGAACAACAAAGACAAACAAUGUGAUAAUGAAGCUGCUGGUAGUUCAAUGGCUGCUGUUUGUUUGUUUGUUUGUUUGUUGUUUCCUCGCUGUGUGAGAAUAUCAGAGAUCGAUUAAGGAGGACUGCUGCUGACACGCUCUGUGGGAACUAUGGAAACUAUAGGCUCUGUUAUUUUAUUAUAUAUCUUAGGCUCUUGUUAUAUUUCUAUUUCCUAUCUGUAACUGAAUCCUAUAAAAAGUUGGUUCCACCUUGUCCUUACAAACCUAAUUUAUUCCAUAACCCUCUGCUUCUCAUCAAGAUCAGCCAAGAACCGGCAGACACCGUUGUCCACUUCUUGGCUCAAGGGACUCGAGUGUUUGUGAACUACUAAAGAGUCUUCAGGUAAGUCCACUUUCCAGUCUUAAUGUUGGUGAACAUUCAUAUCAGUACUAGUAACCAUUCAUGAGCAAGACUUAUUAUUAUAUCCAAAAUAAAUACUGGAGGGCACUCACUAAAUUAUUAACAUGUAUCUUUGCAUAUAAACAUAUUGGUAAUAACGUUUUACUUUAGAAUAAAAAGGAUUUAAUCUGAAUUAACCACAAAAUGAAAUCAAUAAGAAUGUAUUAAUGUUGUUGUCCUAUAGUACAUAUACAGUCUUACUGUUGACGUAAAUAUCAGUACAACUAUAUCUGGUUUUAGUAUUAAAAGUCCAAAUAUGUCAUUUAGUGUUAGAUAAGUAAAGUGAAUGAAUAGGAGUCGACCAGUCGCAGACCUCAAUGUCACCUUCAGAAACCAAAAUCCAAAUCCAUAACUCUCUGUUCUCUCCCGAGGUUGGUUUCAAUGUGUGCACCGUGGAUUAAAUGAAUGAAAUGAUUCUGAAAGAAGAAAAACAAUAACAAAAUAAUUAGUUAAUAAAGUUUUCAGUUGAACUGAAAUGGACACAUGAAGAACCCAAGAAGGACUUGAACUCCCAGAUCCAGAUCACAGACCUGUCAGCAUCUUAUCUCACUGAGCUUUCACACUGAAGGAGAAAACAUUGAAAAUAGUCAGAACAGUCAGU